AGCAGGCCUCUGUGCUCCCAGCAGGCCUCUGCGCUCCCAGCAGGCCUCUGUGCUUCAGGCAGGCUUCUGCGCUCCCAGCAGGCCUCUGCGCUCCCAGCAGGCCCCGGGCGCCCCGCGUCCUCCUUGUGCCGGAUGACCGCACAGCACGCUCGUCGCCCUCUGCCGUUCUCGGGCAGCACUCCCAGCGCUCCCGCGCUCCAGGCGCGGUUCAGGUGCUGGCUGCUGCCGGGUUCGAGGAGGAAGAGCCGGGGUCGGUGUGGCUGGGAGAGGAAGGCUGCAGCAGCGCGGUGACCACAGGCGGGCUCCCUGGGGCGGCCGCGUGUCCCUCGACCUUGCCGGUCUGCUCUGGGCGACUUCCGAAGGUGGCCCUGACUCUCCAGCGCUGACCGCCUGGACGCGCGGCGCGGAGAGGAAGCUAGGGCAGGUUUAAAAAUUCAGUGCCAUAGGAAGCCAGUGGAGGGUUCUGUACCUGGAAGAUCAUGAUUUGACUUAUGUUUGCUGAGUCUGACUCCAGUUUUACACAGAGACCCAGAGACUUGAGAGUGGAUCCGGGGUUCCUGAGAGGAGGCUGCCACAUGUGUCCAGGGACCUACAAGGAAAACCUGCCUGAGAAUGUGUUUACACUAAGAUGUCCUACACACGAGCACCUUGUCAUUGUCUGAAGUUACUGAGGAAAACUGCACACCUCAGCAGCAAACUGAGGACUUCGGGGUUCCCUUAGUGCUCAGACACCACAUGUCCACUGUUCUCUGCUGCUGCUCAGCCUCUGCAAUCCCAAGGAUCAGAGGCCCCCCGCACUGGUAUAUUCUAAAUAUGCAUGGGGGUAAAAGCACCUUCAAGUCACAAAUGCUUUAAGAUGAAUAAAAAUGUUUGAAAUGUUAGGAAAUUAUAUUGCUAAUAAAUGGGGAA